GCUCUAAGAGUUUGUGAAAAACAGUUAGUCUUGUAAACUAAAAGAGAGGGUUUAAUUCCUUCUUAGAGUA
rnacentral:tRNA from 1 species